GAUGAACGCUGGCGGCGUGCUUAACACAUGCAAGUCGAACGAAGCAUUUCGGUCUUAAUCUUCGGAAGCAGACUGAUCUGACUGAGUGGCGGACGGGUGAGUAACGCGUGGGUAACCUGCCCUGUACAGGGGGAUAACAGUUAGAAAUGACUGCUAACACCGCAUAAGCGCACAGGAAGGCAUCUUUCGGUGUGAAAAUAUUUAUAGGUACAGGAUGGGCCGGCGUCGGAUUAGCCAGUUGGCAGGGUAACGGCCUACCAAGGCAACGAUCAGUAGCCGGGUUGAGAGGGUGAACGGCCACAUUGGGACUGAGACACGGCCCAAACUCCUACGGGAGGCAGCAGUGGGGAAUAUUGCACAAUGGGGGAAACCCUGAUGCAGCGACGCCGCGUGAGUGAAGAAGUAUUUCGGUAUGUAAAGCUCUAUCAGCAGGGAAGAAAAUGACGGUACCUGACUAAGAAGCCCCGGCUAACUACGUGCCAGCCGCCGCAGUAA
rnacentral:rRNA from 1 species